rnacentral:rRNA from 1 species
GAUGAACGCUGGCGGCGUGCCUAAUACAUGCAAGUCGAGCGAACAGAUGAGGAGCUUGCUCCUCUGACGUUAGCGGCGGACGGGUGAGUAACACGUGGAUAACCUACCUAUAAGACUGGGAUAACUUCGGGAAACCGGAGCUAAUACCGGAUAAUAUAUUGAACCGCAUGGUUCAAUAGUGAAAGACGGUUUUGCUGUCACUUAUAGAUGGAUCCGCGCCGCAUUAGCUAGUUGGUAAGGUAACGGCUUACCAAGGCAACGAUGCGUAGCCGACCUGAGAGAGUGAUCGGCCACACUGGAACUGAAACACGGACCAGACUCCUACGGGAGGGAGCAGUAGGGAACCUUACGCAAUGGGCGAAAGCCUGACGGAGCAACGCCGCGUGAGUGAUGAAGGUCUUCGGAUCGUAAAACUCUGUUAUUAGGGAAGAACAAAUGUGUAAGUAACUGUGCACGUCUUGACGGUACCUAAUCAGAAAGCCACGGCUAACUACGUG